GACGAACGCUGGCGGCGUGCUUAACACAUGCAAGUCGAGCGGAAAGGCCCUUCGGGGUACUCGAGCGGCGAACGGGGGAGUAACACGUGAGUAACCUGCCCUAGGCUUUGGGAUAACCCCGGGAAACCGGGGCUAAUACCGGAUAUGACCUGGUGCCGCAUGGUGUUGGGGGGAAAGUUUUUUCGGCCUGGGAUGGGCUCGCGGCCUAUCAGCUUGGUGGCGGGGUGAUGGCCUACCAAGGCGAUGACGGGUAGCCGGCCUGAGAGGGCGACCGGCCACACUGGGACUGAGACACGGCCCAGACUCCUACGGGAAGCAGCAGUGGGGAAGAGUGCACAAUGGGCGGAAGCCUGAUGCAGCGACACCGUGUGAGGGAUGAAGGCCUUCGGGUUGUAAACCUCUUUCAGCAGGGACGAAGCGUGAGUGACGGUACCUGCAGAAGAAGCGCCGGCCAACUACGUG
rnacentral:rRNA from 1 species